rnacentral:rRNA from 1 species
CAAUAGCGUAUAUUAAAGCUGUUGCGGUUAAAAAGCUCGUAGUUGGAUUUCUGUCAAGGACAACUGGUCCGCCCCUCGGGUGAGCACAUAGUUUGGUCUUGGCAUCUUGUUGGAAACUGUUGCUGCACUUGGUUGUGUGGCGCAGUGUCCAGCACUUUCACUUUGAGGAAAUUGGAGUGUUUCAAGCAGGCACAUGCCUUUGGACACAGUAGCAUGGAAUAAUUAGAUUGGGCUCUUGCUCCAACUUGUCGGUUUCUGGGGCUGAGGUGAGAAUUAAUGGGGAUUGUUGGGGGCAUCCGAAUUUAGCCGUCAGAGGUGAAAUUCUUGGAUCUGCUAAAGACGGACAACUGCGAAAGCGUUUGCCCAGGAUGUUCUCAUUGA